GCCGGAAUAGCUCAGCUGGUAGAGCACGUCAUUCGUAAUGAUGGGGUCGUAGGUUCGAAUCCUAUUUCCGGCACCA
rnacentral:tRNA from 2 species